CUGGGCUCAAGCGAUCCUACCCCCUCGGCCUUCCAAAGUACUGGGAUCACAGGCGUGAGCCACCGAACCUGGCUAGGGAAUUCUUCUUCAGCCGAACAGCAGCGGCAAAGGCUAAGGGUCCUAGAAAGGAACGGGAAACCGUCACCUGCCCAGUUUGGCAGCUGCGGCUCUGUGCCACACCCUCCAACGGGGCUGGAUGCCCAGGGUCUGCUGCCUCCAUGGGAUCUGGCUGGGCUCGAAGUCGGGGCUCAGCAAAGGUAUUUCGUGUGAACGAGGAAUCCACGGGUCAGACCCGCUUCCACAGCCCUGAGUCGGGGCGGGUGCCAGGGCCAGUCACCCUGACACUCAGGAGGUGCCGGCCUGUGGGGCGUCCGCGGGUGGGCCUCUGACGCAGAGAAAGACCCAGAUCCAGCUACCUCGGGGGCCUCCUGCUGCGCCUCGCCUUUGGGGCAGGCCUGAGGGCAACGCUUACUGCGGAGCAACUGUGUUCUACAGUGUAGUCCCGACACUGAAGACUCCUGGUCCUGGACUCUGCUGUAAUCUAGAAAUCCACUAAGCCAUCUGCCCCUGGCGAUGCAAGAUUUGGUGAAAGCAGAUGCCUGCUCAUCCCAGGAAACCAUCCUGGAGUGGGGUUUCACUACUCCUGACCUCAGGUGAUCUACCUGACUCAGCCUCCCAAAGUGCUGGGAUUAAAGACGUGAGCCACCGCGCCUGCCCUGAAUUUCCUCUUCUUGUAAGGACUCCAGUCAUAUUGGAUUAAGGCCCAUCCUAAUAACCUCAUUUUGUCUUAAUUACCUCUUUAAAUACCCAGUCUCCAAAUACAGCCACAUUCUGAGGGACUGAGAGUUAGAACUUCAACAUAUGGAUGGUGGACAGUCACAACUCAGCUCAUUAAAGUGAACAUUGUGUACAUGGUUUAGUAUGAACAUAUGUCUUAAAUUUCCUUGAGCAUAGGAGUGGAAUUCCACUUAGGAAUGGAAUUUUGGGGUCAUUUGGUAGUUCUGUGUUUAACAUUUUGAGGCUAUUAUUCACAGUGGCUGGAUUAUUUUAUAUUCCCACCAGCCUGACUGAGGGCUCGUGUCCUAGAAAAGUAGUAAUAGAUUUACAUAGAUAUUUUGCAUCAAAAAAUAUUUAUUCUGAGAUUAUACUUAAAAACCAGGAAACAGGCUGGGCGCGGUGGCUCACGCCUGUAAUCCCAGUACUUUGGGAAGUCAAGGUGGGUGGAUCACGAGGUCGGGAGUUCGAGACCAGCCUGGCAUGGUAAAACUUCGUCUGUACCAAAACCACAAAAAUCAGCUGGGCGUGAUGGUGCGCGCCUGUAGUCCCAGCUACUGGAGAGGCUGAGGCAGAAAAAUCGCUUGAACCCGGAAGGUGAAGGUUGCAGUGAGCCGAGAUCGCGCGCCACUGCACAGCAGCCUGGGCAACAGAGCGAGACUCCGUCUCAAAAAACAAAACAAAACACAACAAAAAACAAAUGGAAACAAUCUACUUGCCCCAAAAUAGGGCAUAGAUUAAAUGAAAUUAUCAUAAAUCCAAAAUGGAGGAUAAUGUCAUAAAAAAUAAUGUUAUAUAAUGAUGAUCCCAUGUGUGUAAAACUCUAGAAAAUGCAAAAUAAUACAGUGACAGAAAGCAGAGAGUGACGGACUGCCAAAACUUACCAAAUUGUACACUUUUUUUUUUUUUUAAAUGGAGUCUCACUCUGUUGCCCAAGCUGGAGUGCAGUGGCGCGAUCUCGGCUCACUGCAGCCUCUGCCUCCCAGGGUUAAGCGAUUCUCCUGCCUCAGCCUCCCGUGUAGCUGGGAACAGGCACGUGCCAUCACACCGAGCUACUUUUUGUAUUUUUAGUAGAGACGAGGUUUCACCAUGUUGGCCAGGCUGGUCUCCAACUUGUUAGAUAUGAGUUCCAAAUUUCUUUUCAAAGAUUCAAUAUGUCAGUAUGUUCAAUUCUUUACCUUCUACUUUUAAACUUAACUUCCUCAUAAAGCAACCUUUUUCAAUUACCUACUCCACCCUGACUCUUUCGAUUACCUGCUCUGUAAUAACCAUUUUUCCCGCCAAACCAUUCGCUCCGUCACUCUCUUUAAAUUAUCCAAUGGCAAUUAGUUUAGCCUGUGCGGUCUAACCCUAGCCAAUAGGGGAAUGACACAGCAGCAGGGGCCACGUGCGAAAGGGAUAAGAACCCCUUCCCCUCCCUUGUCCAAGUGUGCUCUCACCAUUGCUCCAUCUGUAAGGGCGCACCCUUCUAUAGAAGUACCUUGCCUUGCUGAGAAUUAAAAACAAAAUUUUAUAUUUUCGGGCUAUUUCUUUUGCGGCACCGAAACUUUGUAUAUAACAAACUCCUGACCUCAAGUGAUUCGCCCACCUCCGUCUCCUGAAGUGUUGGGAUUACAGGUGUGAACCACCGUGCCGGGCCUACAACCGGCAAUUCUUGAUCCUUCACACCGACUCUCGCUGUCCUCCAAGAUUUUUCCUCUUUACCUAUAGAGUCUCCAGGACUCGAUCCCCAAUCCCUUGCAAGCCCUGCAGGGAAACUGGAGGGCACUGGCUUCCCCACCUUUACUCCCCACAGUUGCUCCUCAGGACCACAGGAACGGAAGGGACCAAGCCCCUAACCUAGAAUGUUAGUGAUUUUAGAAGGAAAAAACUUUGGGCUUAUUCAGGACUAGAACCUGAGAUCUCUUACGCCUUAUGUGAAAAGCAUGCCUGAAUCAGGCUUGACGGCACAUUCCUAUAAUCCCAGAACUUGGGUAGUCUGAGAAGGGAGGAUUACUUGAGCCCAGGAGUUCAAGACCAGGCUGGGCAACCAAGAGGGACCCCAUCUCUACUAUUGCUACUGCUACUACAAAAAAUAAAUUGCCAAGAAUUGUGGCUCAGCCUGUAGUCUCAGCUACCUGAGAGGCUGAAGUGGAAGGACUACUCGAGCCCAGAAGGUCGAGGCUACAGUAAGCUGUGACUGCAUCACUGCACUCCAGCCUGGGUGACAAAGUGAGACUCUAUCUCAAAAUUUCAGAAAAAGCAAAAUAGAAAAGCAGGCCUA
rnacentral:lncRNA from 10 species